UGGGAACAAUACCAACCUUUUGUGACUCCUUGUAGCCAGCCCAGCUUGUGAUUGCGUGUCUUUGACCCUGCCCUGUCUCAUCACAUCCCCAGACUUUUGACUUCCCCAGGACUCGCCUGUGCUUCACUCUCUUGAUCUAGAUCCCUUCAAGGAGGCUUUUCUGCUUCAGGAAUGCCACAUUUUCUUAGCAUUCAGCGCUUUGGCCAGUUGUUUCAAUAGCUUGAGCGUUGCCUUGCAUGCAAAAGGAAUCACACGCUCCUGAGAGGGAGAACAGAAAUGUGGCAGCCAGUGGAAGACAUUUAACUGGCAGACUCCUACACUCUGUCAUGGGGCAAUCACAGCUAUGUGUCUUUUAAGACUCCCUAGUCUUUAAGAAUCCUGACUGCUGCAGGAAGCAAGGGCGUCAACAUUUUCAUCCCACAGCAGGAAGAACAAGAUCAAGGAUGGUAACAGAGAUAGAGCCACAAAAAGUCUUGUGGCAUCUUAAAGGUUUUGUACUUUUUCUCCUCCAGCGGACUGACACAGCUACCCCUCUGGAAAUUGUCACAACAGAAGACAGAGAUUUCUCAAAGGACUCUGGGCCACUUUUUCUGGGAACAAAAUCAGAUUUUAGCUUCCAGGCACACUCCUAAACCAAGCCACACUUUUGUAAUUGGUCUCAGCAACCAGGGAUUUUCACCUUUCACUUGUACACAGAUAUUCAGAGGAGUUUGGCAGGCUGAGUAGGAGGAAGUCUGCUGGAGAGAAAUUGGCAUAGAUUUUACAGCAGAACCCUAUAUGUGUCUACUCAGAAGUAAGUCCCAUUGGAUUGAAUGGGGCUUACUCCCAGGUAAGUGGGUAUAGGCUCUUGUCCAUAGGCCACUUACUCUUCCUUUGGACUUCCCCUAGAUGACCACUGUUCAAGGUUGUCCUUUAUGUGUAUAAUCUUGCCAGUUCAGAGAUGAUCUCCUGGUGUCAAUACUACUCUUCCACUUCUCCAUUUCUGCAAAACCCACAGACUUUUAAACAACUUACUUGUCAUGCUUGAUCGGGGACCCUUUGUUCGGGGAGCUUCUGCUUGGUGAGCCUUUGCCCACCCCUUUGAACAUCUUGGAGGUAACUGAAGCUCCCCUCUCUUGGUGUCCGGAAGGCUCUUGAAGGAAGCGGUGGGUGUGUUGUUACAGCUGCCUCUGCCUUCGGUUGUCUGUAGAGAUGGUAUGACAGGAAAGGCUGAGAAGGUCUGCAGAUUGUUAAAAGCAGAACCUGGAUGGCUCCUCCCCAACCUGCAGGUGAUCAAGAGUGGAGAUGGAAACAUGCCUUUUAAAAAAUGACUAGAAAAACCAGUUUAGAACUGAAUGAGUAAAAGCCUAGAGGGUGAGUGGGAGACCCCACCCUGGUACUCUGAAGAAUGUGCUUCUGUACAAGUAGAGACAUACCCAGUUUUAUAUACACAGUUUCCAACAGCCAUUUCAUACGUUACAAUUUCCAACACAAACACUAAUCUCUAUCUAAGAAAUAAUGUGUGCGUGUGUGUGUAGUAAUACAUACUUUGCUCAUUGCUAGCCCAUCUGCACAGCAGCUAUCCAAUCCAUGUAGUUCCUUCACCAUUUGGACUGAUCAGUGAUUUCUUUUAAUAAAGGAGGGAUUUUCCAGUUGCAAAAGAAAUGUUUUCAGCUGGUACCUGGCGAGUUCAAAUUCACUCCAGCCAUGGAACUCACUGGGUGAUCCCAAGCCAGUCACUGUAUCUCAGCAUAGCCUACUUUACAGGGUUAUGUGAAUAUUUAUUUAUUAUUUAACAAAUAAUUGUUAAUAAUAAUGAUUGUAAAUGGAACCUCUGUGGUUUACAAAA